CCUUUGACAUGUACGGAACCCUUUAGAGAUAGAGGGGUGCUCGAAAGAGAGCCGUAACACAGGUGCUGCAUGGCUGUCGUCAGCUCGUGUCGUGAGAUGUUGGGUUAAGUCCCGCAACGAGCGCAACCCUUGUCAUUAGUUGCUACAUUCAGUUGGGCACUCUAAUGAGACUGCCGGUGACAAGCCGGAGGAAGGUGGGGAUGACGUCAAGUCCUCAUGGCCCUUAUAGGUGGGGCUACACACGUCAUACAAUGGCUGGUACAAAGGGUUGCCAACCCGCGAGGGGGAGCUAAUCCCACAAAGCCAGUCGUAGUCCGGAUCGUAGUCUGCAACUCGACUACGUGAAGUCGGAAUCGCUAGUAAUCGUGGAUCAGAAUGUCACGGUGAAUACGUUCCCGGGUCUUGUACACACCGCCCGUCACACCAUGGGAGCGGGUUCUGCCAGAAGUAGUUAGCUUAACCGCAAGGAGGGCGAUUACCACGGCAGGGUUCGUGACUGGGGUGAAGUCGUACCAAGGUA
rnacentral:rRNA from 1 species